rnacentral:rRNA from 1 species
GACGAAGGUGGCGACCGUUGUUCGGAAUCACUGGGCAUAAAGAGCUCGUAGGCGGUGAGAAAAGUAGGGUGUGAAAUCCCUCGGCCCAACCGAGGAACUGCGCUCUAAACUGUCUUGCUUGAGGACCGAAGGGGACCACGGAAUUCCUGGUGGAGCGGUGAAAUGCGUUGAUAUCAGGAGGAACACCGGCGGCGAAGGCGGUGGUCUGGUCGGUUUCUGACGCUGAGGCGCGAAAGCUAGGGGAGCGAACGGG